AUUGAACGCUGGCGGCGUGCUUAACACAUGCAAGUCGAUCGGUAACAGGUGUAGCAAUACAUGCUGACGAGAGGCGGACGGGUGAGUAAUGCUUGGGAAUCUGCCUAUUAGUGGGGGACAACCCGGGGAAACUCGGGCUAAUACCGCAUACGCUCUACGGAGGAAAGCCGGGGACCGCAAGGCCUGGCGCUAAUAGAUGAGCCCAAGUCGGAUUAGCUAGUUGGUAGGGAACGGCCUACCAAGGCGACAAUCCGUAGCUGGUCUGAGAGGACGACCAGCCACACCGGAACUGAGACACGGUCCGGACUCCUACGGGAGGCAGCAGUGGGGAUAUUGGACAAUGGGGGCAACCCUGAUCCAGCGACGCCGCGUGGGUGAAGAAGGCCUGCGGGUUGUAAAGCCCUUUCGGUGGGGAAGAAAGUCUCGACCUAUACGUCGGGACCUUGACGUAACCCACUAAAGAAGCACCGGCUAACUCUGUGCCAGCAGCCGCGGUAA
rnacentral:rRNA from 1 species